rnacentral:rRNA from 1 species
AUUGAACGCUGGCGGUAUGCUUUACACAUGCAAGUCGAACGGUAACAGGCCUUCGGGUGCUGACGAGUGGCGAACGGGUGAGUAAUGCAUCGGAACGUGCCCAGAGGUGGGGGAUAACGCAGCGAAAGCUGUGCUAAUACCGCAUGUGAUCUGAGGAUGAAAGCGGGGGACCAAGCAGCAAUGUUUGGCCUCGCGCCUCUGGAGCGGCCGAUGUCAGAUUAGGUAGUUGGUGGGGUAAAGGCCUACCAAGCCGACGAUCUGUAGCUGGUCUGAGAGGACGACCAGCCACACUGGGACUGAGACACGGCCCAGACUCCUACGGGAGGCAGCAGUGGGGAAUUUUGGACAAUGGGCGCAAGCCUGAUCCAGCAAUGCCGCGUGCGGGAAGAAGGCCUUCGGGUUGUAAACCGCUUUUGUACGGAACGAAAAGGCUCUGGCUAAUACCUGGGGCUGAUGACGGUACCGUAAGAAUAAGCACCGGCUAACUACGUG